rnacentral:rRNA from 1 species
ACCCGACUGCUAUCGGAUUGGGACUAAGCCAUGCGAGCCGAACGCCCCAGGCUACGGUGGGGCGUGGCGCACGGCUGAGUAACACGUGGCCAACUUACCCUUAGGACGGGGAUAACCCCGGGAAACUGGGGCUAAUCCCCGGCAGGCAAGGGCGCCUGGAAUGGUCCCUUGCCCAAAGGGGGUUGAGACCAUGCCUCUCAGCCUCCGCCUAAGGAUAGGGCUGCGGCCUAUCAGGUAGUUGGCGGGGUAACGGCCCGCCAAGCCUAUAACGGGUAGGGGCCGUGAGAGCGGGAGCCCCCAGAUGGGCACUGAGACAAGGGCCCAGGCCCUACGGGGCGCAGCAGGCGCGAAACCUCCGCAAUGCGCGAAAGCGCGACGGGGCCACCUCGAGUGCCGCCUGAUGAGGGCGGCUUUUCCCCGGUGUAGCGAGCCGGGGGAAUAAGCGGGGGGCAAGUCUGGUGUCAGCCGCCGCGGUAAUACCAGCCCCGCUAGUGGUCGGGACGUUUAUUGGGCUUAAAGCGUCCGUAGCCGGCCCGGCGUGCUCCGCGUUAAAUCCAGCAGCCUAACUGCUGGGCUGCGCGGAUGACUGCCGGGCUUGGGGGUGGGAGAGGGCGGCGGUAUUCCCGGGGUAGGGGUAAAAUCCACUGAUCCCGGGAGGACCACCAGUGGCGAAGGCGGCCGCCCAGAACACGCCCGACGGUGAGGGACGAAAGCUGGGGGAGCGAUCGGGAUUAGAUACCCCGGUAGUCCCAGCCGUAAACGAUGCGGGCUUGGUGUCGGGCUGGCCACGAGCCAGCCCGGUGCAGAAGGGAAACCAUUAAGCCCGCCGCCUGGGGAGUACGGCCGCAAGGCUGAAA